GUUAGAAAUAGAAGUUAUAUAAAAAACAACAGGAAGAAGAAGAGGAAGAAAGCAAGCCAACAUGAAGGAGGAAAGGGAAAGAAAGAAGAAAAGGAAGAAAAAAGGAAAGGAAGGAAGAAUAGAAGGAAAGAAGAAAGGUAGAAAGAAAGAAAGGAUUAAAGGAAGAGAGAAAGAACUGACGAAUGAAGAAAGAAAGGAAAAAAAGGAAGAAAGAAAGGAAAAAGAAUUAAAGGCAUCUUUUCCCCCUCAGUGUGCCCAGGAAGGUCUGGUGGAACAGCAGAUGCCUUGUCAAAUGGACUCCUCUGUGUAG
rnacentral:lncRNA from 1 species